UUCAUGAUUAUAUGAUUUCAUUUAAUAUAUUGAUUUAAUAUAUAUAUUUAAUUACUCAUAUAGUCGUAUUACACCUGUAGCCCAAUUCAUAAGGGUCAUGCGGAUUAGUCUUCAGCCUCUACUUCCCAUAAUAUAUCUAUUAUGCAUCACUAAUUAUAGUAGGCCCGACCAUAGGUCGGGCUUACUUAAAUAGUCGAGGGUUGCGUUCAUUAUAUAACUAAAUAAAAUACCACUUGGCAUGAACUGACGACAACAAUGUAACGCCUGUAUAUACUCGUUCAGGUAAUGAGUAUAUAUUCAAGAAUUGGUAAGGUGUUAGGGGUAUCAUCCAAUUAAACAGCAUAAUCCACUGUACCUGUAUAUAACCGUCUAAUGUAUUGCAUUUCAUCCGUGAGGACGUACUAGUCUGGCGGUGUACUUCAAGUAUUAACGUACCCAUAAUGAAAGUUAUAGGUUUAUAAACCCAUAACUAUCUUACAUAUACGUAGUACACAUAGUUUACGGCUAC
rnacentral:rRNA from 1 species